rfam:Triticum aestivum genome assembly, contig: Triticum_aestivum_CS42_TGACv1_scaffold_249023_3DL
AUAGUACUCCCUCCGUUCGAAAAAGCUCGUCCCUCAAAUAGAUGUAUCUAGAACCAAGUUAGUGCUAGAUAUAUCCAUUUGAGGGAGCUUGUGACAAGUUUUUUCGAACGGAGGGAGUAAGAA